GACGAACGCUGGCGGCGUGCUUAACACAUGCAAGUCGAACGGAAAGGCCCUGCUUUUGUGGGGUGCUCGAGUGGCGAACGGGUGAGUAACACGUGAGUAACCUGCCCUUGACUUUGGGAUAACUUCAGGAAACUGGGGCUAAUACCGGAUAGGAGCUCCUGCUGCAUGGUGGGGGUUGGAAAGUUUCGGCGGUUGGGGAUGGACUCGCGGCUUAUCAGCUUGUUGGUGGGGUAGUGGCUUACCAAGGCUUUGACGGGUAGCCGGCCUGAGAGGGUGACCGGCCACAUUGGAACUGAGAUACGGCCCAGACUCCUACGGGAGGCAGCAGUGGGGAAUAUUGCACAAUGGGCGGAAGCCUGAUGAAGCAACGCCGCGUGCGGGAGGACGGCCUUCGGGUGGUAAACGGCUUUCGCCUGUGACGAAGCGUGAGUGACGGUAAUGGGUAAAGAAGCACCGGCUACUACGUG
rnacentral:rRNA from 1 species